GCACCGCCAGCGCUGCGGGGGGGAGAGAAGCACACACACCACGUUUAGCGGGGGCCUGCCCGCCGCCCCCAAACCCGACGUACGAUCAGGCCGGGGCCGCCCUCCUCCCCGCCUUACCCGACUUGCCGGCUCCGCUGCCGCCCAGCACAGCCAGCUUCACUUCGGUCAUGCCGCCACCAGGCCGCUCACCGCUGCCUCCAUUUCUUUAUAGCCGCCGGGCCGAGCGCGGCUGCGUCGGUGACACCGCCCAGCAGCCCGCCUUCGCCCAGCUCCCCCCGCCAUCCCCCGGCCGCUUUCCCCGCCCCGCCGGCGAGGCCGGCAUACCUGAGGCUCAUGUUUGACCUGAAUGCUGCAGGUUUGCAGUCAGGUGUCCAGGCUUGGAGCUUUCAUCAGGACAGCUCCCACACUGAUGCUGCCAGAACUGGAAGGAGCAGUUCUGGUGUUCCCAUGGUUGGGAUCAGCUGGAUUGGUGGGUAUGUAACUCCUGUUCUGAGCUUCUCUUGACCUUGGAACUAUUGUAAGACCUCCCUGAGGAUUAAUAAGACUGAAGAGAAGAAUCAGC
rnacentral:lncRNA from 1 species